ACGGGAGGCAGCAGUGGGGAAUAUUGCACAAUGGGGGAAACCCUGAUGCAGCGACGCCGCGUGAACGAUGAAGUAUUUCGGUAUGUAAAGUUCUAUCAGCAGGGAAGAUAAUGACGGUACCUGACUAAGAAGCACCGGCUAAAUACGUGCCAGCAGCCGCGGUAAUACGUAUGGUGCAAGCGUUAUCCGGAUUUACUGGGUGUAAAGGGUGCGUAGGUGGCAAGGCAAGUCAGAUGUGAAAGCCCGGGGCUCAACCCCGGUAUUGCAUUUGAAACUGUUUAGCUAGAGUGCAGGAGAGGUAAGUGGAAUUCCUAGUGUAGCGGUGAAAUGCGUAGAUAUUAGGAGGAACACCAGUGGCGAAGGCGGCUUACUGGACUGUAACUGACACUGAGGCACGAAAGCGUGGGGAGCAAACAGGAUUAGAUACCCUGGUA
rnacentral:rRNA from 1 species